rnacentral:rRNA from 1 species
CCUACGGGAGGCAGCAGUGGGGAAUAUUGCGCAAUGGGGGAAACCCUGACGCAGCAACGCCGCGUGAGUGAGGAAGGACUUCGGUCUGUAAAGCUCUGUUAAUGUGGAAAAAUGGUUAGUGGUCUAAUAGGCCAUUGAUUUGAUGGUACACAUAGAGGAAGCACCGGCUAACUUCGUGCCAGCAGCCGCGGUAAUACGAAGGGUGCAAGCGUUGUUCGGAUUUAUUGGGCGUAAAGCGCGCGUAGGCGGACCUGCAAGUCAGAUGUGAAAUCUCGGGGCUCAACCUCGAAACUGCGUCUGAAACUACAGGUCUAGAAUCUUGGGAGGGGGAAGGGGAAUUUCUCAUGUAGGGGUAAAAUCCGUAGAUAUGAGAAGGAACACCAGAGGCGAAGGCGCCUUCCUGGACAAGUAUUGACGCUGAGGCGCGAAAGCGUGGGGAUCAAACAGGAUUAGAUACCCUGGUAGUCCACGCUGUAAACGAUGAAUACUAGAUAUUGCAGGAUUUGACCCCUGCAGUGUCGUAGCUAACGCGUUAAGUAUUCCGCCUGGGAAGUCGGUCGCAAGACUAAAACUCAAAGGAUUGACGGU